rnacentral:misc_RNA from 1 species
GAUGAAGAACGUAGCGAAAUGCGAUAAGUAGUGUGAAUUGCAGACUUUAGUGAAUCAUCGAAUCUUUGAACGCACAUUGCGCCCCUUGGUAUUCCGAGGGGCAUGCCUGUUCGAGCGUCAUUUCAACCCCUCAAGCUUAGCUUGGUGUUGGGCUGCGCCAGCGUUGCUGGCGGGCCUUAAAAUCAGUGGCGGUGCCGUUUGGGCUCCAAGCGUAGUAGCAUCUCUCGCUCUGGAGACCCGGCGGUUGCUUGCCAGACAAUCACUAAAAAAACAAAGGUUUGACCUCGGAUCAGGUAGGGAUACCCGCUGAACUUAAGCAUAUCAAUAAGCGGAGGA